AGUGAACGCUGGCGGUAGGCCUAACACAUGCAAGUCGAACGGCAGCACAGUAAGAGCUUGCUCUUACGGGUGGCGAGUGGCGGACGGGUGAGGAAUACAUCGGAAUCUACUUUUUCGUGGGGGAUAACGUAGGGAAACUUACGCUAAUACCGCAUACGACCUACGGGUGAAAGCAGGGGAUCUUCGGACCUUGCGCGAUUGAAUGAGCCGAUGUCGGAUUAGCUAGUUGGCGGGGUAAAGGCCCACCAAGGCGACGAUCCGUAGCUGGUCUGAGAGGAUGAUCAGCCGCACUGGAACUGAAACACGGUCCAGACUCCUACGGGAGGCAGCAGUGGGGAAUAUUGGACAAUGGGGGCAAGCCUGACCCAGCCAUACCGCGUGGGUGAAGAAAGCCUUCGGGUUGUAAAGACCUUUUGUUGGGAAAGAAAAGCAGCAGGUUAAUACCCAGCUGUUCUGACGGUACCGAAAAAAUAAGCACCGGCUAACUUCGUG
rnacentral:rRNA from 1 species